UACGAAGGGUGCUAGCGUUGUUCGGAAUCACUGGGCGUAAAGCGCACGUAGGCGGAUUUGUCAGUCAGGGGUGAAAUCCCGGGGCUCAACCUCGGAACUGCCUUUGAUACAGCAAGUCUUGAGUUCGAGAGAGGUGGGUGGAAUUCCUAGUGUAGAGGUGAAAUUCGUAGAUAUUAGGAAGAACACCGGUGGCGAAGGCGGCCCACUGGCACGAUACUGACGCUGAGGUGCGAAAGCGUGGGGAGCAAACAGG
rnacentral:rRNA from 1 species